CUGAGUUACCGCUCUAUAACCCUUUGUGAACAUACCUAUAUGUUGCUUCGGCGGUCGGCCCCCGGGCCCCGGCCCGCUCACGCGGGGCGUCCGCCGGAGGAUAACCAAACUCUGAUUUAACGACGUUUCUUCUGAGUGGCACAAGCAAAUAAUCA
rnacentral:misc_RNA from 1 species